UACGGAGGGGGCUAGCGUUGUUCGGAAUUACUGGGCGUAAAGCGCACGUAGGCGGCUUUGUAAGUUAGAGGUGAAAGCCCGGGGCUCAACUCCGGAAUUGCCUUUAAGACUGCAUCGCUAGAAUUGUGGAGAGGUAAGUGGAAUUCCGAGUGUAGAGGUGAAAUUCGUAGAUAUCAGGAAGAACACCCGUGGCGAAGGCGGCUCUCUGGGACGGUACUGACGCUGAGACGCGAAAGCGUGGGGAGCGAACAGG
rnacentral:rRNA from 1 species